ACGAGAUGAGGAUGGUCAUUGUCAUUUUCUGAGCUGCGAACGGGCAGAAGGCAACACAACGAGAUGAGGAUGGUCAUUGUCAUUUUCUGAGCUGCGAACGGGCAGAAAGCUACACAACGAGAUGAGUAUUGUCAUUGUCAUUUUCUGAGCUGCGAACGGGCAGAAAGCUAACCAACGAGAUGAGGAUGGUCAUUGUCAUUUUCUGAACUGCGAACGGGCAGAAAG